rnacentral:lncRNA from 12 species
ACCAGCAGCCAUGGGAAUUCACUUUAAUAUAUGAUAACUUAAAUUAUGAGAUUAAUGGACACAAAGUUGAUUUUGGAGCUGUAAUAAGGUAAGUGGAAAUUUGCAUUAUUUUAGGGUCUAUGACAAUUAAUUGUAUUUGCAUAUUUCUAUAAGCUCACGUAGGGAG